UACGGAGGGUGCAAACGUUGCUCGGAAUCAUUGGGCGUAAAGCGCACGUAGGUGGCUUGUUAAGUCGGGUGUGAAAUCCCUGGGCUCAACCCAGGAAGUGCACUCGAAACUGGCGAGCUUGAGUACUGAAGAGGGUCGCGGAAUUCCCGGUGUAGAGGUGAAAUUCGUAGAUAUCGGGAGGAACACCAGUGGCGAAGGCGGCGAUCUGGGAAGAUACUGACGCUGAGGUGCGAAAGCUAGGGGAGCAAACAGG
rnacentral:rRNA from 1 species